CCUUGGGUUAACCUUUGCAAAUAUUCUUGUGAUUCAUCAGUCAUUUUGAAAAAUGCGGAUGUAAUAGAGUUGAGUCAGUCACAAGUUACUCAGCUGACUUUCCAUUUGCUUUUACUUGAGUUGGCUUCUAUCAACAUUGAGUAACUGGAGUAGCUUGCAUAUAAAGUCAAGCCUGAGUAUGAGAAAUGAAAUGCAAUCAAGUUUUAGUCAAGUUCAAGUACUUUCCAGGCCAUUUCAAUUUGGUUUGUUUAGAUCCCUAGUGAAAUUAAACUACCGUUAUAUGCAUCCAUUGAAAGUCGGCUUUCUUUGAACAGAACAAGUCAAUCGUAGAAUCCUAGGGAUCUGUAGGUUUGCUCUGGUGGCAGCAGUAUUGGCUAGGGAUGAAAUUUUCGUCAUUUCUGAACUUAUUGAACCCAAAUGAAUGGUUGAACUUUUUUUUGGGCAGGUAGCAGUCCUCAAGGAAGAAUUUAAUAUUGAUUUUCAUGUUAUGGGGAUUACUGGAU